rnacentral:rRNA from 1 species
AUUGAACGCUGGCGGCAGGCCUAACACAUGCAAGUCGAGCGGAUGACGGGAGCUUGCUCCCGGAUUCAGCGGCGGACGGGUGAGUAAUGCCUAGGAAUCUGCCUGGUAGUGGGGGACAACGUUUCGAAAGGAACGCUAAUACCGCAUACGUCCUACGGGAGAAAGCAGGGGACCUUCGGGCCUUGCGCUAUCAGAUGAGCCUAGGUCGGAUUAGCUAGUUGGUGAGGUAAUGGCUCACCAAGGCGACGAUCCGUAACUGGUCUGGGAGGAUGAUCAGUCACACUGGAACUGAGACACGGCCCAGACUCCUACGAGAGGCAGCAGUGGGGAAUAUUGGACAAUGGGCGAAAGCCUGAUCCAGCCAUGCCGCGUGUGUGAAGAAGGUCUUCGGAUUGUAAAGCACUUUAAGUUUGGGAGGAAGGGCAGUAAGCGAAUACCUUGCUGUUUUGACGUUACCGACAGAAUAAGCACCGGCUAACUCUGUGCCAGCCGCCGCAGUAACAC